GUGGAUUAUGAUGUUUUUCUCCCAUUUUGUAAGUUCAAUUUUUUUCACAUUUGCUAUACUUGUUAUUAAUUAAGAAAUUGAGAAGUGUAAAAAAUUUAAGCAACAUCAAGAAUUGAGUCAAUGGAUAUUAAGGUUCUAAAAUUGUCCUAAGUUUGAUUUGAAUUGGUUAGAUUUUGAUUAGAAUUUGUUUAGGAGUUGAUUAGGAUUUGAUUUAGGAUUUAGAAGAUUUUAGGAUUGAUUUAGGAUUUAGAAUAUAAUUAAGAUUGAUUUAGGAUUUAAAAUAUAAUUAAGAUUGAUUUAAGAGUUAAAAUAUAAUUAAAUUUGAUUUAGGAUUUAGAAUU
rnacentral:lncRNA from 1 species